AGUGAACGCUGGCGGUAGGCCUAACACAUGCAAGUCGAACGGCAGCACAGUAAGAGCUUGCUCUUACGGGUGGCGAGUGGCGGACGGGUGAGGAAUACAUCGGAAUCUACUUUUUCGUGGGGGAUAACGUAGGGAAACUUACGCUAAUACCGCAUACGACCUACGGGUGAAAGCAGGGGAUCUUCGGACCUUGCGCGAUUGAAUGAGCCGAUGUCGGAUUAGCUAGUUGGCGGGGUAAAGGCCCACCAAGGCGACGAUCCGUAGCUGGUCUGAGAGGAUGAUCGGCCACACUGGAACUGAGACACGGUCCAGACUCCUACGGGAGGCAGCAGUGGGGAAUCUUGCACAAUGGGCGAAAGCCUGACGCAGCAACGCCGCGUGAGUGAGGAAGGCCUUCGGUUCGUAAAACCCUUUUAUUGGGAAAGAAAAGAAGCGGAUGAAACCCCGCCUUUCUUGACGGUACCAAAGCAGAAAGCCCCGGCUAACUUCGUG
rnacentral:rRNA from 1 species